AGUGAACGCUGGCGGUAGGCCUAACACAUGCAAGUCGAACGGCAGCACAGUAAGAGCUUGCUCUUACGGGUGGCGAGUGGCGGACGGGUGGGGAAUACAUCGGAAUCUACUUUUUCGUGGGGGAUAACGUAGGGAAACUUACGCUAAUACCGCAUACGACCUACGGGUGAAAGCAGGGGAUCUUCGGACCUUGCGCGAUUGAAUGAGCCGAUGUCGGAUUAGCUAGUUGGCGGGGUAAAGGCCCACCAAGGCGACGAUCCGUAGCUGGUCUGAGAGGAUGAUCAGCCACACUGGAACUGAGACACGGUCCAGACUACUACGGGAGGCAGCAGUGGGGAAUAUUGGACAAUGGGCGCAAGCCUGAUCCAGCCAUACCGCGUGGGUGAAGAAGGCCUUCGGGUUGUAAAGCCCUUUUGUUGGGAAAGAAAAGCAGCAGGUUAAUACCCCGCUGUUCUGACGGUACCCAAAGAAUAAGCACCGGCUAACUUCGUG
rnacentral:rRNA from 1 species